ACCAUUCGUUUGUAUAUUCAAAGGACGACAACGUGUUGCCUUGUGCUGCCGGGUGGCCAUUUUCUUGCUCCACCGCGUUAGGGUUUUCAGAGUUUUCCCGCUUUCCCUCGUUUGUUUGGCGCUCCCUAUCAUUCACACAAGUUCAUUCGGCUCAUUUUGUGGCCACAAGAAGAAAAAUGAUCGACCUGUUCCUGCGAGAGCCCAAGUGGAACGACGUCGUAGACGACGAUUCAGCUCGAUCGAGAAUCUCCCUUCUGAAGGACCUGGAAAGCGUAAUUUGGUCCACAGUGGGUCGCGCCGAAGCUCGGUUGUGGCUCUGCAACACCGUCGCCGGAUUGAACUGCGUGACCUUCCUCGAUCAGCGUGACCUCUUUCGGAGUUUGCUCAGAACCCGCGGCCUCAAGCGCGAUUUCGCCUCUCAGCUUCUGCAUUUCAUGUUCGACGCCUCGCCGCACAAGCUCGGUUCCGUUUUGGCUCGGAGGAGUCACGUGCUCCACAAAUUUUUUGAAGGUAAUCCCAAGCGAGUAUCACAGUGGUUUACCUGCUCUUCCUCUGGUGGUGGACUAGAGCAGGGGAAAGGUUUCAGGGCACUGUCCCAGUUUGCAUUUAAAAAUAGAGAUAUUUGUUGGGAGGAGCUAGAGUGGAAAGGAAAGCAUGGGCAGUCACCAGCAGUGGUCGCUACGAAGCCCCAUUAUUUUCUUGAUUUGGAUGUUCAGCAAACUGUGGAAAAUUUUCUUGAGAAUGUUCCUGAAUUUUGGUCAUCUGAUGAGUUUGCUGAGUCAGUGAAGGAUGGUGAUAUUUUUUUCAUUGAUAGGUCAUUCUUUGUGCAUUAUUUCAUUGCCUUAAUGUAUAAUAAAGAGGAAUUUAAAGGUGUAUGGGAUGUCGUAAAUGAAUUCCUCAUGCAGCAGCCUUUCUCCUCCUUAUGUGGGCGUCUUCUUAUUGCUCUUGAAGACCAGGACUUAUGCUAUUUUGUGGAAUCGAUUUGUAAAUCUCUUGGCCCAAGAAUGGAACAUCAACAUUUCAAUGACAUCUCUAGUUAUUUUGUGAUUUUAGUUUUUAAGUGUGGUGCUUAUGGAUCUAUUGAUCAGUUACUGCUGUUAAAUGCUGUCACUGCACAGGGGAGGCAGCUUCUACGCCUCUUACGUGAUGAAGAGGCUUGGGAGCCAAAAGAAAAAAUCAAUGAGAUCGUGUCAAAGAUAUCUGCAAUCCCAAGCAAUCCUAGUAGCUUGACCCCAAUCAUCAAGAACAAAUAUAAGAUGAAAACUAUUGAAGUGAUAAAGUGUCUGGGGCUUCUGUCUUGGCUUCUUUACUAUAGACUGUCACAAGAAUGCCGGACCCCUGAGUCCUGGGAGUCUGUAUUUAUGAAUAAUCAAAUCAGCUUCCGUAACUCUAAGAAACAUGCAUUGCCAGAUGAGGAUGGACCAUCAAAAGAUUGUUCUGGUUUUGAUAGCAGUUCUUCAAUUAGAGUAAAAAAUAGGAGGAAAAAAAAGGCCAGAAAGAAGAGGAGGACCUAUGAAUGCAAUGAAGAUAGUGAUGGGGAGCUGCUAGAUUUUGAUUCUGCAAGCCAGAAGUUGGGUUUUCAGUCAAAUACUAGAAGUUGGUUGCUUUCAACUGAUGGGUACUCUUCAGUAUGGAGCAGUGAUGAUUUACCCGAGUACCUUCAUAGUCAGUGCUUGUCUAAGUGGAUGACAUGGCUUUUUGAAAAAUGAGUUCGUGGUCUGCCUGUAUGGAUCAACCCGAGAGAUGUGCCAUCAUCAUGUCCAAACUGUUGGAUGGAAAGAUCAAUCAUCCCUCAUUUUGCUGUUUUCCACUCAGUUCAUGUACAGAUGCUGUGAUUCUUGAAUCUUCUGUUGGCUAUUGCUCAUAUGCAAAACUUUGUACUUCAUUUUGAAGAUUCGUACAAACAUAACUGGACUUGCUGGGGAUGGGAAAGAUCUGGAAAAUACCAUGAAAAGCCAGCCUAAGAACUCCCUCAAGGUCAUUAAAACUUGAGUUCAUUAUGAAGAUCUUGAAGAGAUCAAAGCUUUGCUAAUUUACUUCGCGGUCUGCUACCAUCUUAUAAUUGGCAACAUAGUUUGUCAUCCAUAUGCUAUGAAUUUCUCUAUCACACUUCAGUCUAGCUUCCAACGUUGCCAGGAUCAUUCAGAUUGCUAUAUGGAGCAUGCUCGGGCUGGUUAUACUAGAACUCCUUGACUAAUUUUCUAACGAUUCUGGCAGUGCUUUCAAAUGUGGGAAUAUAGACUUCGCACUCAUCAUCACCGACUACUCCUCUUUCUCUCCCUCAAUAGUGAUUUUUUCAGCUUUCAAUAUGAUCGAUGGGACUGGAAAGUUGUUACAAAUUGCAAUUAUUCCGUGAGAAAUUAUCGGCAUGCUAAGGGCAUAUUUGAAUAGCAAUGAUGUUUGUCGGCCCCUAUCAAGAGAUGGAAUUUUUUCGUAUAAAACAGAAUACAUUUCUUUAAUUGAUGGAGUUGAGCUCAAUCAGGAAGAUGUGUGCAAUCAUAUUUGGAAAAUUAAGGGUCCGAAGAGACUUCAUUUGCAGGUCUGGAAAGUGUCAAGGGACAAGCUUUCAACAAAUAUUCAAAGGUUCAAGAGACAAAUCUCUCAAUUAUGCAUAUUCAACAAAUAUUCAAAGGUUCAAGAGACUUAUCUCUCAAUUAUGCAUCUUAUUAGAUUGUAAUUAUAUUAAGGAUAUAGAUUUAGACUUUGUUGCGGAAAGAUGUGCCAGAUGAGUUUUAUUGUGAGGUUCUGUAAUGGGUCAGAUUUAACAUUGUUUCAAAAUUCAAGUGCUUUAAAUAAUCCUAUUGAUUGAUACUA